rnacentral:rRNA from 1 species
UGGGGAAUAUUGCACAAUGGGCGCAAGCCUGAUGCAGCCAUGCCGCGUGUAUGAAGAAGGCCUUCGGGUUGUAAAGUACUUUCAGCGGGGAGGAAGGGAGUAAAGUUAAUACCUUUGCUCAUUGACGUUACCCGCAGAAGAAGCACCGGCUAACUCCGUGCCAGCAGCCGCGGUAAUACGGAGGGUGCAAGCGUUAAUCGGAAUUACUGGGCGUAAAGCGCACGCAGGCGGUUUGUUAAGUCAGAUGUGAAAUCCCCGGGCUCAACCUGGGAACUGAGUCUGAUACUGGCAAGCUUGAGUCUCGUAGAGGGGGGUAGAAUUCCAGGUGUAGCGGUGAAAUGCGUAGAGAUCUGAAGGAAUACCGGUGGCGAAGGCGGCCCCCUGGACGAAGACUGACGCUCAGGUGCGAAAGCGUGGGGAGCAAACAGG